UAGGGAAUCUUCCGCAAUGGGCGAAAGCCUGCCGGAGCAACGCCGCGUGAGUGAUGAAGGUCUUCGGAUCGUAAAACUCUGUUAUUAGGGAAGAACAAAUGUGUAAGUAACUAUGCACGUCUUGACGGUACCUAAUCAGAAAGCCACGGCUAACUACGUGCCAGCAGCCGCGGUAAUACGUAGGUUGCAAGCGUUAUCCGGAAUUAUUGGGCGUAAAGCGCGCGUACGCGGUUUUUUAAGUCUGAUGUGAAAGCCCACGGCUCAACCGUGGAGGGUCAUUGGAAACUGGAAAACUUGAGUGCAGAAGAGGAAAGUGGAAUUCCAUGUGUAGCGGUGAAAUGCGCAGAGAUAUGGAGGAACACCAGUGGCGAAGGCGACUUUCUGGUCUGUAACUGACGCUGAUGUGCGAAAGCGUGGGGAUCAAACAGG
rnacentral:rRNA from 1 species